UCAUGCUUUACAGGAGUAGAACUAGCUGGUAUUUUGUCUUCAUGUCUGCUUUUCCUCACCAUUAACUCUGAAACAUCUACACCAUCUCUGCUAAUUAUUGCCUUUCGAUUGCUCUAUGAUGUAACUUUGCAGUCAUCGAGAUGAGAGCAGUGCAGAGACGUGAUGAAAUGGCGACACGGUUGUCACCGGACCUCAGUGAAGUUUAUGUUUAGAUGAACUGUAAGCCUUCUUGUGAAAUUUAAAUCAAGAAGUACACUUAUUUUCAAGGUGUUUUAAGGUUGUUGCUGCUGAUUAGGGGAGUAUUAUUUACCAUAUGCUGAAUACUAUCAUUCCUGGUAAGUUUUGGAUUCUGUAUCCUAAAAUAAAGACAUGUUAAUUUCUUGUUUAUUGCUGCACUAGUCAUAAUAGCUAAGCAAUUGAACAAGCAUAUAUGCCCUUCAACAUUUUAGUGGAUAAUAUAUAUAUGUAUAUUAUAUAUUAGUUAUAAAAUUAGUUAUGAAAUUUAUUAACUCCCAAGUAAAUAUGAAAUUAUAUUUGUAAAAAAUGGUUGCAAAUUGAAACCAUGAUCUUAAGUGAAAUAAACCAGAGACAGAAAGACAAAUACCUAAUCUUUUCCGUGUGUGUGUGUGUGUGUGUGUGUGUGUGUGUGUGUGUGUAUUUUUACAUAUUUACUUGAGGAAAUUGGAAAUAUAACCACAAAAAUAAUUAAUAGAUGUCAAGAAUGGAAGAUCAAGGAAGAAAGAGAAUUCAUUAUUAAGUAUAUUCAACAUUGAUAUAAAAGAAAAAUACAGUAUAUUGGGGAAAAGGAGACUAGGAAUUUGCUUUAUGUAUUACAAGAAAACCUAGAGUUGGAGAGUCCAAUUAAUAGCUAUGUAUAUAUGAAAAUGCCAAAAAUGAAACCAUUAGUUUUGUGUCCUACCAUAAAAAGUAAAUUCGAGAGAAAGGUCUGAUUGACAAUGAUUGUGUGGGGCUGAGGUGACAGCGGAGAGGAGGAGGAAGAAGCUGAAGAAAGCAAUCUGACUGUGGCAAUCUGAAACCAAAUGCUAGUUUUAGUCUCUCUUUAAAUCAUCUCAUAAGAUAAUUUAAAAUUCAUUUCAACAUGUCCUUUUCAAAUACAGAGAAGUCAAUAUAUACUGAAUGCAAUCUGCAUUUCAACAGCAUUUAAGAAACAAUUCAACAACUCUGAGAAAAACAGUGAUAAUUUAAAUCAAAUAAAUAGUACUGCUAUAUUCUAAAUAACUAAGCAUGAUCAAACUGGAGAUAUAGUAUAUAAUAUUAAUAUUACAUAUAAACUAAAAUAAGAAAUAACCCAUAUAUAUUUCCAUUGUUCAUGCUUGGCAGCCUAAUGAGAAAAUAGUGAGCCUGACUUAUUUUAGAAAUAUAUUCAAGGAACUAUUCUCUGUCUGAGCCCUCAUUAUCCCACGUCAAUGAAUUGCAAAAUUAAUGGAAAAUAUAAUUUAUAUUAAAAUUUAAUGGAUAUAAACUAUAUAUGUAUAUUCUGCUUAAUUAUGUCAUAUCAUAACCCAGUUUAUUACAUAUAAAAUGUAUCCAUUAUCAUGUUAAGACCACUUUGAUUUUCUCCAUAUCCUAGGUUGCCACCUGAUACCACGCCAAAUUUACUUUUAUAAUUCUACAGUUUUACCCUAUACUUUAUUGCUGGAAAUAUAAUCAUCUCAUUUUGCAAGAACUUUGUGUUUUUGUGAAUUAUAUACAUUAAUUUUGUAUUUGCCUUCACAUUUUUUUACUUGUGUUUAUCUACCUAAACUAAAAUUAGUAAAUUAAUACAAACUAUUCACCUAGGUACAUAUAUAGGGCUUCUUGGUAUAAUAAAACUUUUGAUACAAUCUGAAAGCCAUCAAUAGAAUAAAUGUGUUUUUUCAACACAAUUGUAUUGAUUGAAACAUACAACAGAAUAAAGUGUUUAUGAUGCAGUUUACAACAUAUAUGCUAAUAGAUGGUACACAUAAUACAUGCUGUAACAUAUAUAUGCUAAGCUGUGAAAUACGCUGCAACAUUUGUGACAGUAUGUGUUCAUGUAUGGAUGAACUUCAAUACCAUUCUGUAAGGGCACAAGUUAGAUUAAUUUUUUCAGAUUUUGCCAUGUUCUACUAAUAUGAUAUAUUAAAAGCUAAAGAAAGAGCAUGAAGUUAGAGGCCAAAUAGCAGUCAGUAAGUAUCAGGAGGCUAUACAUUUAGGGAGCAUUUAAACAUGUGGAUCAGGCAUUUUCCUAGUGCUAAUAAAUAUUUCAGAACUUCAGGUAGUUAUAACAGUCUUUAUAUGAGUAAAAUUUAAAAUUCAUUCUGUUAUUAACAUUAUCUCAACCAAACCAUUAUUUUCAAUAAAUAAUUUAGUAAUUAACAGUGAAUAUUUGACAUCGGACAAAUCUUAAAUCUUUAUAUUAACCAAGAUGUUUUUACAUACUAAGUGAUAUAUGUUAUUGAUUAUAGUUCUGAUCCUCAAAGAAGAAUUUGUAACUCACUUUGACCAAUAUUUUAGAAAUUUUCCUAAUGUGAAUAUUAAUUAUUCUUUUUAGUUAGCAAAGUUGGCCAAUUCCAGUGUCUUAAAGUACAAACAACUGGCACGGUCCAUAUCUAUCACUUUAGCAUUAGCUUGUCCCAUGGUUUUCGAACACAGCUGGCAUUACAACAAAUCCAUAAAUGACAUCAAUAGAAUAGGGUCUGGCUAAUCCUAGCCCUUUGGGGGAUUGUUUGAUGGAUGUUUCUUCAGAUCGCCUCUCUAGGAUAGAAAACACACCUUGGCAGAAACCCAUAGAACCAGCUGUGAUUAAUACUUUUACACUUCCUAAUUAGUUGAUCUGUGUUAGGACAAGAUACUCAGCAAUAACUUCAAGGAUGAUCCUACGCAAUAAUUUAUUAAGGUACAUAAUUUAUUAAGUCUUGGAGUAAAAAACUGAAACUGAAAUUUUCCAUCCCUAAAAUAUCAAUAUUCGAACAUUGACCAUCUAAUGCAAGAAAAUUGCUAAACUAUGAAGCAUUCAACACCACAUUUUCUGGAAAUACGAAUGCAUAUAGAUGUUUUAAAAUUUGAAUCAAAAUAUUCCAGAAACCAUAGGUAAUAUAAUGGCUUGUAUUUUUUGUAUUACUAGGAAAAAUAAUAAGAAUUCAUGUGAAAAAAACAAACUUAGGAAAAUAAGGUUAUCCGUAUGUGUGUAGACAUACAUGCUAACUCAAAAUAAAACCUGUCACUGAAGAGAGCAACAUGAUGUUCAGUUGUUUUAUAAAUAAGACUACACAUCUCAAAUUAUUUUUUCUCAAGGUUUUACUGCUGUGAACAGACUCCUUGACCAAGGCAACUCUUAACGCGCUACUUUACAGGUUCAGAAUUUCAGUUCAUUAUCUUCAUGGUAGGAUCCUGGCAUCGUUUAGAUAGGCAUGGUGCGGGGGGCAGGUGGCUUAGGGUUCUAUAUUCUCAUCUGAAGGCCUCUAAGAGAAGACUGGCUUCCAGGCAGCUAGAAUAAGGGUAUUAAGUCCUAAACCCAUAUUAACACACUUCUUGCAAAUUCAUACCUAUUCCAGCAAUGCCAUACUUCCUAAUAAGGCUACCCCCUCAGCCAAGUAUAUUCAAAUCACCACAAUGUAACAAACAUUUUUUUAUAUAGGCUGUCAUCUACAGAUCACUUACUAUGUAAUGUAUAGGAGGAAAGAGAUACAAAAGAUAUGGUCAUAAUUAAAUGUGAUAGAAUUCAAUGUCAAAAAGAGUAUUAGUUAUUACCUCAGUUGUAGGUUACUUUGUAUAAUGAUAAUGCUUAUUCUAUGUCUCCUUAAGGGUGAUAUAAUGUUUGAUAUUGGAUAAUAUUUAUUGAAAUUAAUAUUGGAGUAAACAGAGAUAGUAACUGAAGUCUGAGAAGAUUACAUAGGGGACCUUUUGCUUUCCAGAUUUCCCAUGUUAGUAGGAUAUAAACAGCAGUUCAUAGAAAUUUCUUUCUCAAAUCCUUUUUCUUUCCAGAAGAGUAGUAAAGAGUACGAUAAUAUGAAAUAUAGUUGUUUUAGCCAUGGGUUGUUUGGGUUUUGUUUUAUUUCUUUUUCUCUUAAUUUUGAAUAUUAAUAUUUCUUCUCUGAAACCUUUUGGGGAAACUUAAAACUGUUUCAGACACACUGGAACACAGUGACGUCUGAAACAUUUUCUUUGCUCAUUUUCUUUACGGCUGUUAAUGAACACUGGAUAUUUCAAUUCAGCCAUGUUGCUCACAGUAUAUCUUAUCUCUUUAGAUUUUGGUCAAGAGUUUUAUUUUUUAAGACAUUCCAAAAACAAAAAAAAACAAACAAAAACCACAUUUCAUCUUCACACUAUUAUACUUGUUCAAGAGAAAAUAUGGCUACUACCAUUUUGUUUUGAUAUUUCUUCUCACAAGUUUUUCUUCCAUGAUACCCUAAGAAAUCUUCACAGUUCCUUGUCUAAGGAUGGCAUUACCUUUAUUUUAUUUUAAGUCUGUAACAGGUGUAUUUUAUUGUAUGAUAAUUUUUGAAAACUAGCAAUGCUUUUGCAAAGUAUAGAAUGACACAUUUUAUAUAUGCUUUCUGAAAAAAACUCCUUGUCCAUAUUAACAUCAAGAUAAAACACUGUCCAAUUAUAAAAGGAAUGAGAGCUUAAUGUAUAUUCUUAUAUGCAUCUGGAGGUGAAGGCAAGGUGAUUAAGAGAAACUGCAUUUAAACUACAUUUUCUUUGCCAUUCUUGAUAGAGACUCGAUAAAAAUAAUGUUCACUUCCAACUUUUUUUAACAUUGUUCUCAUGACCACCCUAUAAUUGUUCAGAAUAUUGAAGGUGAAAGAUCUUUCCUUAUAAAUUGUAUUAUCUGGGCUUACUCAAAUAGAAUAAAUAACAGAAGAGCAAAGUUGGAAACAUCUAGCCUCCUGUAGCACUCUUUCUGAAAACAUUGGUAUGUGAAUGUGGUAAAAGUCCUUAUAAUAGAAACAUAUCAGCUAAGGCACAUGUAUUUUGUGCCCCCAAAUUAAUUUAGAAAAAGUUAAAGCCUUGAAACUAUAUGCCAAUAAUUUGCUGGCACAAACUUUAAAUGGAAGAGCCCAGUGAUAGAUUAGACCACCAGAACCACUGACUUAAAAAAAAUUAGGUCUCAUGAGACACAGUUUCUUAAAAAGACUGAUGUUUCCUCUCCUAUUAUGCUUUUUUUUUCUGUUUUUUUUCUUUUCUAAAAAUAUUUAUUUUUCUUUCAUAUUAUACACCCAAACUGAAGUUUUCCCUUCCUUCACUCCUCUUAGUCCCUUGCCUCAUUAUCUCCUCUCUUCUGAAGAUCCACUUCUCCUCCACUUCUCCUACGAAAAGAACAGUCUUCUCAGAAAUAUCAACCAAACAUAGCAUAAAAAAUUAUAAUAAAACUAAACAUAUAUCUUCAUAUAAAGGUGGGAGGCAAUCCAGUAGGAAGAAAAGGUCUGAAGGGGAGGCAAACAAGUCAGAGAUACUCCCACUCCUGUCAGGACUCCCCACAAGAACACUCAGAAGUAAAAGUCUAGGUUCUGUUUCCAUUCUUACUCACAGGUUCUCUGGACAUUGUGACAUCACCAACUGUCAAAGAAUCACCAGAAAGAAACUGAUUGCAAUGCCAUGGUCUUGACCUUACAGUAUUGUAUAAUGAAGUUAUACUUUUGGAAAUAACCCAGGCUCUAGUAUUGGAUCAUAUUAACAGAAAUUAAAAUAAUACAAUAUCCCACUG